GGUAAGGUGGCCGAGUGGUUAAGGCGUUGGAUUUAAGAGCGACGUUUGUCACCUUGAAGUUCCCCAAUGACGAGAGUCUCCAGGGUUCGAACCCCUGUCUUACCA
rnacentral:tRNA from 1 species